GUGAUUAAUCGAGCGUGUCUUCAUUGACCGCUUCACCCUUCUCACCAAUCCACAUACCACCUGAUGGCACUGGUUAAGCCCUGAGCCGGUUUUCCGGUCCAGGUUUAUCAUUUCAUACAAACUCUAGUCUUAUGAAGUGUAAAAGUUUUACAAACAUAUAA
rnacentral:misc_RNA from 1 species